CCCUAUGGGGUGCACCAGGGAAAAACUGAGUGUCGUGGCAACUCUUUUCCAGUGGAGCUUUCCAUAUCCCGUAUCUCCCAUUACAGUCCCCUUCAAAGGAUUAAGCCCGACCCGUUCAGCAAGAAAGAAAUGUAUCGGAACAGCUCGGCAAUGGUCAUGCCAAUGGAAAAAAAUGAGCGGUCACCACUCAUAGUAUUUCACUAACUGAUUAAACACAAAAGGAUUAUACCAGGUGCCUCACUCUGCCCAGCCAUGCAAGCUAUAGGAAAGCCUGUCGACGCUUUUUACAGAUUGUAAAAAUAGCACGAGUACGAAGGAAAAAUAUCCGUCAUGAGAGCUCUCCGCAGGGCGAAGCGCCUCACGGCACAGGAGCUUGUCUGCGCGAUCCCGCAGCUUGCAGCCCCGCGGCCCCAAGCCCCUCCUGAAUGAAUUGGCGGGAGGGC
rnacentral:rRNA from 1 species